AGGAAGGCUCUGGCCUACAUGCUCAUGCUUGUUUCCUGGGAACUCUAGAAUGAGCGCAAUGCAAGAGUUUUUAGGAAUGUCGCUACCACGGUGACCAUGGUCACUGCUAGGAUAAAGGAGGAGGCUCCUAUUUGGGCGAUUGCAGGCGCUAGACACCUGUGUAAUGUAAUGCCGCGAGAGUAG
rnacentral:rRNA from 1 species